rnacentral:rRNA from 1 species
UACGGAGGGUGCGAGCGUUGUCCGGAAUCAUUGGGCGUAAAGAGCUCGUAGGCGGUCUGUCGCGUCGAUCGUGAAAACUUGGGGCUUAACCCUGAGCUUGCGGUCGAUACGGGCAUGACUGGAGUUCGGCAGGGGAGACUGGAAUUCCUGGUGUAGCGGUGAAAUGCGCAGAUAUCAGGAGGAACACCGGUGGCGAAGGCGGGUCUCUGGGCCGAUACUGACGCUGAGGAGCGAAAGCGUGGGGAGCAAACAGG